rnacentral:rRNA from 1 species
GUGGGGAAUUUUGGACAAUGGGCGAAAGCCUGAUCCAGCCAUGCCGCGUGCAGGAUGAAGGCCUUCGGGUUGUAAACUGCUUUUGUACGGAACGAAAAGACUCCUUCUAAUAAAGGGGGUCCAUGACGGUACCGUAAGAAUAAGCACCGGCUAACUACGUGCCAGCAGCCGCGGUAAUACGUAGGGUGCAAGCGUUAAUCGGAAUUACUGGGCGUAAAGCGUGCGCAGGCGGUUAUAUAAGACAGAAGUGAAAUCCCCGGGCUCAACCUGGGAAAUGCAUUUGUGACUGUAUAGCUAGAGUACGGUAGAGGGGGAUGGAAUUCCGCGUGUAGCAGUGAAAUGCGUAGAUAUGCGGAGGAACACCGAUGGCGAAGGCAAUCCCCUGGACCUGUACUGACGCUCAUGCACGAAAGCGUGGGGAGCAAACAGGAUUAGAUACCCCGGUAGUCC